rfam:Clostridium sp. CAG:62 genomic scaffold, scf231
UUUAGGAGGAACCGCCAAGAACGUAGUUCUUGCUUGAAAUCGGUUCCGACGACUUGCCGUCUGGCGCAUGUGAGGGGGCACUACCUUUA